rnacentral:rRNA from 1 species
UGUUUCGGCUAGGGGGCCAUCCCGGCUUACCAACCCGAUGCAAACUGCGAAUACCGGAGAAUGUUAUCACGGGAGACACACGGCGGGUGCUAACGUCCGUCGUGAAGAGGGAAACAACCCAGACCGCCAGCUAAGGUCCCAAAGUCAUGGUUAAGUGGGAAACGAUGUGGGAAGGCCCAGACAGCCAGGAUGUUGGCUUAGAAGCAGCCAUCAUUUAAAGAAAGCGUAAUAGCUCACUGGUCGAGUCGGCCUGCGCGGAAGAUGUAACGGGGCUAAACCAUGCACCGAAGCUGCGGCAGCGAACGUAUCACUUAAAGCGAUUCAGCGGGUUACGAUUGACGGAGCGAAGCGACGUCAAAGCGUAUACAAAGUCGAGUCGGUUUAAGGAUACGUUCGUUGGGUAGGGGAGCGUUCUGUAAGCCUGUGAAGGUGUGUCGUGAGGCAUGCUGGAGGUAUCAGAAGUGCGAAU